rnacentral:rRNA from 1 species
GACGAACGCUGGCGGCGUGCCUAAUACAUGCAAGUCGACCUUAGUGGCGAACGGGUGAGUAACACGUGGGUAACCUGCCCAGCAGAAGGGGAUAACACUUGGAACAAGGUGCUAAUACCGUAUACUGAUGGAUGGACCCGCGGUGCAUUAGCUAGUUGGUGAGGUAACGGCUCACCAAGGCCACGAUGCAUAGACUACCGUAGAGGGGGAUCGGCCACAGUGGGACUGAGACACGGCCCAAAAUCCUACGGGAGGCAGCAGUAGGGAAUCUUCGGCAAGGGACGAAAGUCUGACCGAGCAACGCCGCGUGAGUGAAGAAGGUUUUCGGAUCGUAAAACUCUGUUGUUAGAGAAGCGGUAUCUAACCAGAAAGCCACGGCUAACUACGUGCCAGCCGCCGCGGUAAUAC